rnacentral:misc_RNA from 1 species
UACGUCGAUCCUAGAAACCAACAAAAUAGAAUCAAACGUCCUAUUUCAUUAUUCCAUGCUAAUGUAUUCAAGCGUAUGCCUGCUUUAAACACUCUAAUUUUUUCAAAGUAACAGUCCUGAUUCCCCAAGACACCAAAUUAAUGACAUCAAGGUUCUUCAGAAGGGAGAAACCAAUAAUACCAGUACGUACCGAGGCACGACCAACA